UACGUAGGUGGCAAGCGUUGUCCGGAUUUACUGGGCGUAAAGGGUGCGUAGGCGGCGCAGUAAGUUGGGUGUGAAAUCCCUCGGCUUAACCGAGGAAUUGCGCCCAAAACUACUGUGCUCGAGGGAGGUAGAGGUGAGCGGAACUUAGGGUGGAGCGGUGAAAUGCGUUGAUAUCCACAGGAACUCCGGUGGCGAAGGCGGCUUGCUGGACCUUUUCUGACGCUGAGGCGCGAAAGCCAGGGGAGCAAACGGG
rnacentral:rRNA from 1 species